AGUUUAUUCAUAAUUCACGAAUCUUAUUGGCAAGACGCGGAGAGUCUUAUAAGUAUGUCGCCGGUUUUAGUGCAUUAACAUCAACAGGUGAUGGCGGCUAUCAUUAUAGGUUUACCCGUGUCUAAUUGGACAUUAUGUCGAUGUAGGCGAUUAUACAAAACUUAACUACUUUUACUAUACUUACUGAGGUGUCUACAUUUAGUCCGCAAGUGCAUCGUUUGAGUUAGGUAGCAACCUAUAAAUAUAUUCCCUUUUCUGCUAUAAAUUAAAAUGUAGGCAUAAAUGUUAUUGUUAAGAGACCUACAUAAUGAAUAACCAGGUCUGUUAGAUCUUUGUUCUAUUCCCGUAUGCUCGAUUAGGUACCAAUACUAGGAAAACUUGCUGCUAGUACCUAGCUUACGCCCUAUUGAUACAAUUGCUCUUGGUACUUACAGUAACAAAACUCCUAUAUAUACUUAAAUCUAGAUAAUAUGUGACAAUAACUGAAUUUACCAGGGGCCACGUAUCAUCUUGUACUUUGCUCGAAGCUGGCGAUGAAGGUACCUACUAUAUUAUGUAUAAUAGUCAUAUUUUAUGUGUCAGCCUAUCUACUCAGGACCAACUAAACCAUUCCAAUGCAAUUGACCAAGGUUUACGUGUCUAAAUCGGUAGUACCCGUGUUGAGUAAGUUUCUAGUAAAUACCUACUUACUUAAAACUUCAUAAGAGGUAGCAGAUGAUUGGGCAGGUAUAUAUCACUUACUAACCAUUCUAAAUUUUAUAUUCUCAAGCAACUCUUCUUUUUAAUAGCUAGGUACCGUCCUGCGUCACAUCACACAAAUCAAUAAAUCAGUAACUUCUUUUGUUUCUAUUUACUACUGUUUACAAUGAAUGCAUAACCAAAACUAAGAAAACCCGUUUUUGUAUGUUUACAUGUCAAUAAACUGCAAGUAUAUCAUUUACACUCACACACGGCCCUCUAUCAAACUAGGCAAGGCCUUAUUAAAAACACAACUGUUCAAAUGUUGUUGAUAAACACUCUUGAUAUAUUUUACGAAUAGAAAAACGUCUUGCGGGAAGAAACUCAAAUCCGCGACCUUCGGCUUGACAGUUAGUUUCACUAAACCCAUUAAUCUCAUAGUACAUACAAAUUAAAAAGGUGAAAUAAUGUCCGUUCAGUUUGAAAACAAAAUGUAAAUGAUUUCGGAAUAAUACAAACACAACAAAAUGCUUAUUUGAAUUAGUUAUAAAUAAUCUCACUCAUAGGUAAGAGCUUUAGCUCAACCACAGCAUGAAACACGGCCGAAAGAUAAUAAAAGGGACAGCAAACACGUGGUGUCUACAAGCAAAGGGAUUUACAAACUUUAAGAUCGAUGAUACUGCUCUUUCACAAUUAGUGUUGUUACAACAAUCAAUACAAACAUGCAAGGCAAGCAAUUAAUUUUAAAUCAUAAGAUAAUGUUUAGGGAAUAUCGCUCGAUAAUAUUUAAAAACAAUUAAUAAAAAGCUGCUUUCUCAAUCAGCCAACUAUCGAAGAUACCAAUAAAGUUUUAUUAAAACUUAACUAUCAAUUUUAUUACUACAUAGACAUCGUUUUUUUUACUUCUAUAUUAUCGAUUUCUGAACACGGAUCUUUUUUCCGUCAACGUUGUUAGAUUUUUAUUUAAAAAUCUUUGUAAAGACAAAUAAUGAAUUAUAAAUAGACGUUGUCUUUUUAAAGGAUUGUUUCCUCUUUUUUAUAAUAUCGUCCGUCAAACUUUUAUCUUAGGCUGGACUAAAUAAAGCUUUAGGUUUUGUUAGCCAUCAAAUAUUGCUUUGAAACAAUUCAAGAACGGUUUUAAUGUAAAUUUAGAAUGUUGAAUAAAAACUGCUUAUUUAAUUGUCAAUUACAUCAUUAGUAUCAGCGAGGAAAAAACAGGAAAAUAAUUAGUGUCUCUUUACCCUUAUCACAAACAUAAUUGUGGAGUGCCACAGGGUAGCCCGUUGGGAGCCUUAUUAUCAAUAUUUAUUAUUGACGUAACCAAUAUAACUUUACUCAAAUUGUAUUUUAUAUGCAAACUAGGCGAUGUCCGCACUGAAACUGUAGUCCGCGCAAUUUUUAAUGAUGUUCAACACAUCUCCCUUAACCUUGUCGUAAAAUAUUAAUAAUUUAGAUGAUUCCUUUACUUUACUUGUAAACUUAGACUUGGUAAAUUUAAAACUACAACUACUUCCAACCCCUUCUUUAGGCCCCUAUGUAGACUUUUUUUAAAUCAUGCUAUACGUCGUUCUUUUGCCAAACAAGUACCUACAUUCUUAUCGAUAAAGCUUCAAUAUGAGCUCAUCAAACUGGCUUCCUUUACGAGCGAUUUUCCAAUAAUAUUUUCUGUGACUGGCUGACCUAUGAUACAAAAGGAACGCACAGUACAAAAUUUCGAGUUACAAAUCCAAGUAAAAUUAGGCUGUGCGAUCAAAUCUUUAAUUGGUUUCGAAUCGAUUCAUUAUAUCAAAUCUCAUCUCAUCUAAAUGAAAUACUAAUACUUCAGAUGUUUUAUUCUGAUCCCGUUGAAUAUCAUCACACCAUUGUCGUCUUCCGUAAAUCAUUGCUAUUUGCACGAUUGAUAUCACAAGGAACUCCCAAGUACUCGGUCACUCAGUUGUCACUGCCGAGAUUGGACUAUUAUUCUGAGAUUCCAAUUCAAGGUGAUCUCGUAGCUGCACUCACAUGGUUGCAAUUGAGUAUAUUGCUACUCUGUAUUGUUAAGUCAUAUAUCCAAGUUCGUUGGAAAAUAUUCUGAUUCAUACCCCGUUACCAUUUCACGAAACAUGUUGUUAUAUAAACGUAUAUCACUUAUUUUACUUGUAUUCAUAAAACAUGAAAGUUUUAUCUCAAAUAGAUGCUGCUUAAGUUUUGAUCAUUGCUGAUUUGAUAUAACACUACUUAUCUAAAAAAAUGCGAUUUGAUAUACACAUUAUACACACACUUGCCACUAAUAAUUUUUAGAUCACUAAGAAAAUUUCUAAUUAUCCUCAAAUUUCCAUCACUUACUGGGUAUACGCUGCUAAACCAGUGAAACAGAAUUAGAGAUUCUCAACUUGCAUCUUCAUAUCAUUCAUCGACCCUAGAGGGCUAGUUGAGAUUCGCAUGUGAAUAAAACAUACUAACAGUCCUCAUUCUGUUAGAUCCGAUGCAAAGUAAAAUCAUCGUAACCGCUGUAGGGCUUGGCAGUUAUUGGUUAUGCAUGGAGAUCUUUUUGGUAUCGAAGACAGAUUGUUGUUUACCCAAAUCCUAAAGAGGUUUUAGGUAAUAGCGACAAAACUGGUAGAAAUAAUUAUCGUUGCAUCAAGAUUCUGCGCUUUGGCUACAACACUUGACUGCUUGGCCACUGACACUAAAAUACUUGCACAAAGUUACUAAAGAAUAGCGAUGAGUUGCGUGGUAAGGGGGACUCGUUAACUAACAACGGGUAGGGUCCACAAAUCAACGAUAUUGUUUGAUUGCACCACGAGUAGGUCAUACCGCAGGGCUGAGCUUCCAAAGUGUAACGAUUUUAAUUAUGUUAAUAAAAAUAUAAUUCUAAAAACUAGAAUAAAAUAAAUAUUUAAGGGACAACAACAAACAUAUUUUUAUGGAUAUACGGAUAUAUUUCGUGAAGUGCAGCAAUUUUACAAGAUUAGCGCUAAAGAAGAAUAUACUUAAGGUUCGUCUUGCGGCCUGCGACAGAAAACCCCUAGCAUUAUACAUCAUUACAUAUAUUUUUUUCUUCAACAAGACCUUGUGAAAAAUCCGAAUAAUGUCGAGUAAUUAUUAAAAAAUACAUUCUAUCGCCACCACAACGAGAUUUUGUCAUAUAAAACUUUGCUAAAAUAAGGGGCGUUGUUCUGGAAGGGCUGUUAGUGUAGGGUGACACCCCUAGUGCUUGCAACUGUUGCUCUCGGUGAAAGGUCAUUGAUACUAUUUUACCUAAUGUAGUUGGGAGUUCGAGAGAUGCGGUGAAUGCCACAAUCGAGUUUGUAUACAAUAAUAAUUUGAUCUUUAACGGCAAGCACAGAAAAAAAAGUCAUUUUUGUAAAAUCUAGUUUUACAUAAUGCGUAUAUUAUGACUUGUCUAUGAUAGAGUACACAUUCGGCAGCUCAGGAGAAUGUCUGGCUUGCCAGGCCAUUCAAAGCAUUGGGGCAUUGUAGACAAAAUUGUGCUAGGAUAGGAUAGUGGGCAAUCUCAACAUGGAGCAUAUGAACAUCGCUUAACGAUAGCAUCUUAUCGGCAAAGUCCUAAUUAUUUGUGUAACGGUAUUUCUUACUUCAGGCUAUCCCAUAUUCGAUUAUUAUCAUCAGUAUUUUUACAUGACUACAGAUUUUCAGCACCUGUUAUUUAAAUGCAUAUAGAUGAUUAUAGUGGUUUAGUAUCGUAUUUUUAUUUAUAAACAUUGAUCCCCAUCCUUUGGGUAUUAAUUAGUUGAUGUUCGUUUAGGGCCUCGUGUUCGGCGCGUGUAUGAAAUGACUAAAAAGCUGUAACUUUUUGUGCAGCACUCAUAAUUCACUUGCAAAUAAAGGGUUCAACGAGUUUGCAAGAUGCAUCGCCAAGAAAGGUUUAGUUCGCUUUCAGAAAGUCUGCAGGGGGGUUAAGGGGCGAGAGAGAGAGAGGCGGCGAUCGGCACGUGUUCGACGCGUGGACCUGUCCGGGAAAUGAAUUAACUGAGUUGCGCACCUGCCGAUACCGCGCCGGCCCGGUGUCUUAUCUACUUCACCGCUAUUUUAUUACUCGACUAUACUUUUUAGCCAAAUACCUUAGUAUCCAAUUUUUGAUAGCGCUCAAGUUGUUCUGCCGUCUUCUUAAGAGGACAUUAGAAACACCGAACACGCAAAUAUCGGUCCAAACUGACUCAAGGUCUUUGAAUAGCCUUGAGCAAAUCCGGAAUAUUGUAUUCUCCUUGUUGACUCACACUCUUAAAAAACAGAUGGUAGAUAGUACAGCUUAACUAUGUGCCUUAAGAAUUUAUUUCGUGGUAAUGUUUAAUUUUAUAUUACACCUUAAAUAGCUAGAAGUAGAUCUUGUGUAACAUAUUCGCAUGAAAACCCCUUGUACCAUAAACAUUGCCCUAAUGCCGACAUCCUCGUCGGUACCGCAGUACAUCUCAUAUAACAUGAAACAGAAAAUCCUUUACACUCUACACUAUACUCGAUUCCCUAGAAAGAACAAUUUAUAGCGCAUCGUUGCAAAAACGACGUAUGACUAAUUAUAAUCAAAAUCGGUAUUGAUAUCCUGCAUCAAAAACCCCAUCGAAUGGAUAUCGGUUACCCCUUUUGAAACAAAUUGUAUUUAAAUUUGAUCUGACUACCCGAAAAAUCCAGUCAAAUCGAUUGUGUCUUUGGGAAAUGUCAAUGUGUGUUUCUUUCCUAUUUAUCUGUAGCUCAUUUGCCUAAAGUUGAAUUUAACCUGUUUCACUUUCUAUAUCUUACUUUUGCUUUCUGGUAACGAUCUUACUUUUCACGUUUUUCUUUUAAUUGUUAAGUUUUGUUCGAGUUUGAGUGAUUCUGAUUGUUUAUAUUGAUCCAUUUGAUGAUACUGUGGCACCGCGUAACAAGGACCGUAAAGCGCCACGAUAUUAAGUUUAAAAUGGGGCGCCCGUCGCGGUAGCCAUAACUCAGUUCGUGUGCGGGCGCGCCGUGUCAGGUGUCCGCGCACAUUGAUGCUGCUUGUGUUACCAACUAAUUGUACGUAGUUACUAUAAUAAUUAUAUUUACAAAAACUAAUUGAUAUAUCAUAUAACAAGCAUCACAAAUCUUUUGAUGUAAGUUGAACCUUUACAGCUGCCUAAAAUUAGCCUACUUCUUAAAAUCGACCUUUUUACUACAUUACAUAAUAAGGUUUUAGUUAUUAAAGACAUAAGAUAUGUAACCUGCACUUAGUAAUUAAGGAUCACGGAGAAAAACUAUACCAAUAAACAUCGAAUUUUUCACAAUAUUAGUAGCUCAUCCUCUUCUUCUCUUCGUAUCUAUCUUCUAAAGUUUUGGUGUCCUACUAAACUGACCUCUAAGUACUAAUAUUAUUCCAUACCUCUCAAAGACAUGAUUAGCUAGCCUUAAAUUAGCCUGAUAAAGUGAAGAGUAAGUUACUAAAAGGGAAGAAGAGCUUUUCUUUGGUCUUUAAAUUUAUCUGGCUGGUUAUUUAUAAAAUUGAUAUGACGGAAACCAUCGGCAUUUUGCUAAUUCGUCCUUAAUUUUUACCCUUCUGGUUAAAUCACAUAAGGUUGUGUAGUGUGUGUCCGUUGUAAGCGUAGAGAUCAAUGUCUUGCUCCGACGCUCAGUAUGCUUGUUAAGUUCAACCUUUUAAACAUCACCUGAUUUAAAUUGUGCAGCAGUAGUAGACAAUAUAGUAAAGCUGCCGUGGUAUUUAGCUAAUUUUCUAACCUUGAUCUAAAAUAGUCGUUCCAUGUACAAUUAAGAUUAGUUUACCAGAUCAACUCGAAUCUACCGGGGUUAUCAAAACUUUCAAGAUAUGCACCCCGUGCAUGCAGGGUGUAAUGCGGUUUUAUUGGAUUCUUCAAAUUAGGUCCGCUUUUUUAUUUUGCGCGUGUUGCACCUAGUUCAACCCACUUACACUAACCGUCUUCGAGUCAAGAGUCUACAUACUAACAUGUUGCACAUACAGGGGCUUCGUGACCGGAAAGUAAUAUGCCAAUCUUUUGUCUUUCAUCCAUAAAUUUUGGAUUUUAUUUCAGUUGGCUAGUCUAGAUCAAAUUAUCGCGCCUCCUAACUUGUAUAAUUUGAUACUUCAUACUAUAUUUCCUAUUAAAAACUUGGAUUUUAGAAGGAUAUAUAAUAGACAUCAUAAAAAUAUUAAUGUAGCUGUUGGCAAAAAGACUGCAAUCUUUGAUCAAAAACUUAAAUUUUCAGGGUUUUAAGUAAGCAAAUUUCAGUAUCCACCUGCUUACCUUCUUAUUUCACCGUUAUUUCUUAUGGGAUGUAAAUUCAUAGAUAAGUAUCAACUCAAAAUAGCUACUUUGAAGCUUCACAAAAAACAUAAAACCCAUUAUUAAUAGGUAAUUAAUUUUAUUCAUUUUACGUGUAUUUUUUGUACAAUUGUGUAAAAUAGAAGAAAAUAAGCUUAAAUAGUGAAUAUAGAGGUCAUGAAAACGAAAGUCUUCACAUUAGAUAAGAUAUUUUUCAUGUAGUGUAGGUAUUGAAAUUAACGGAAAGUACUUGAUCAUUGACAACCGUGAUGUUGAUAGAUAUGGUUUCAUAGAAGUAAGGCGCGAAGAGGCGGGGUGGAUGCAUGUGCACUCUAGGGGCAAGGGGUGUGGCCGGCUCGCCAUUGGCUCGUGUCGCUGAUUCCUGUACAACGUGCAAGGGUUGUAACCGCUAGAGAUAUCCUACCUAACUAGUGAUCAUCGGCUUAUGCCCGGUUCCUAUAACUUACGAGCCGUCAUUGGGAAAAUGUAACCAUCCGUAAUCUAGUUACCAUUACCAAUGCAAAACUAGCGUUCCACAACGCCCUACCUGCAACGAGCAUCCGUAGCUAACCCGCCUACGACUCGUUCGCUAAUGUCCCUCUCGUUCCUCUUUACGUUUAGUUACAAGAAAACAUUGUACAUCAGUCAUGCAAAAAAAAUCAUACGUUUUCAUAUUUUAAAUAAGUAUUAGAACAAAUUACCGUACAAUUACAAUAAUAAUUUGAUUUACCUUGACAUUUAAGCUUAAAAUAAGUUUACAUUCUUAGUAUAGCAAGUUUGAUGUUACGUAUGCAAGGGGUAGACAAAACGCGUGACAAUACAAUGCGAACCCCGUAUCGCAUGACAUUGACAUCUGUCUUCCCGUCUUCCGUGUCCGUCCGCGUCUUUAAAAUAAAAUUGUUAUUAAUUUGUUUUAUAGCUCCUUGUUUAUACGCGCACCGUCUAGUUUUAUUUCUAGGGACAUUGACACAAAUUCAAACAGUAACUAAAAUAAAAUGGAUUCUACUCCGUCGGUAAGUAAUAGUUUAACUGUAGUUUAACUCACACAAAAAUACAUCAGUUUUGUCACAGGUAUGAGCACUGUUAUUUUAUUUUACAGAAAAAUAAAGCCAUGAGUAAAGACGAAAUCCAGUGUCUUGUGGAAUUAGUAGAGGCAAACAAAAUUAUCGUAAGUAAAGAGACGAAUGCCUCUACUAAUAGACUUAAAGAUGAAGCAUGGGUUUCAUUAACAGCUGCUUUUAAUGCCAGAAAUGGAACAAUCCCCAGGCAAAAAGAACAAUUGAAGUCCAAGUGGGACAAUUUAAAAAAAGCAGCUCGUAAAAGAGCCCAACAAAUCAGAAUGAACCAUUUAAAGACUGGUGGUGGAAAGCCCGACUACAUACCGCCUGAUGAAACGUUAAGUAAAGUAGAAUCCUUAUUGGGUUCAACAUGUAAUGGCUUUGUUGUGCCUUUUGGUGGGAAUGGUGUGGGUGAUGUAGGUGAUAACAUUGUGGUGCAGGUUUUUAAUGAAAUUGGUGACAGUCCUAGUGCUGGCAUUAUAACUAAUGAAAAAAUUAAUGAUGACUUGGUUUUUACCCCUACUACGAGUGGAG